GAUGAACGCUGGCGGCGUGCCUAAUACAUGCAAGUCGAGCGAACGGACGAGGAUCUUGCGUGUUUCAUGUUAGCGGCGGGGGUGUGAGUAACAUGUGUAUAACGUACCUAUAAUACUGGUAUAACUUCGGAAAACCGGAUCUAAUAGCGUAGAAGAUUUUGAAGCGCAGGGGUGGAAGGAAAGAUACGGUGGUUCGGGCAGGUAUAGAGGGAUCCGGGCUGCAUUAGCUAGUUGGUAAGGUAACGGCUUACCAAGGCAACGAUGCAUAGCCGACCUGAGAGGGUGAUCGGCCACACUGGAACUGAGACACGGUCAAGACUCCUACGGGAGGCCGCAGUAGGGAAUCUUCCGCAAUGGGCGAAAGCAUGACGGAGUAACGCCGAGUGAGAGAUGAAGGUCUUCGGUUCGUAAAACUCUGUUAUUAGGGAAGAACAUAUGUGUAAGUAACUGUGCACAUAUUGACGGUAACUAAUCAGAAAGCAACGGCUAACUACGUG
rnacentral:rRNA from 1 species